CCUACGGGAGGCAGCAGUGGGGAAUUUUGGACAAUGGGCGAAAGCCUGAUCCAGCAAUGCCGCGUGAGUGAAGAAGGCCUUCGGGUUGUAAAGCUCUUUUGUCAGGGAAGAAACGGUGAGAGCUAAUAUCUCUUGCUAAUGACGGUACCUGAAGAAUAAGCACCGGCUAACUACGUGCCAGCAGCCGCGGUAAUACGUAGGGUGCAAGCGUUAAUCGGAAUUACUGGGCGUAAAGCGUGCGCAGGCGGUUUUGUAAGUCUGAUGUGAAAUCCCCGGGCUCAACCUGGGAAUUGCAUUGGAGACUGCAAGGCUAGAAUCUGGCAGAGGGGGGUAGAAUUCCACGUGUAGCAGUGAAAUGCGUAGAUAUGUGGAGGAACACCGAUGGCGAAGGCAGCCCCCUGGGUCAAGAUUGACGCUCAUGCACGAAAGCGUGGGGAGCAAACAGGAUUAGAUACCCUGGUAGUCCACGCCCUAAACGAUGUCUACUAGUUGUCGGGUCUUAAUUGACUUGGUAACGCAGCCAACGCGUGAAGUAGACCGCCUGGGGAGUACGGUCGCAAGAUUAAAACUUAAAUGAAUUGACGG
rnacentral:rRNA from 1 species